CCGGCGACCGGCGCACGGGUGAGUAACACGUAUGGAACCUGCCCGCAGCAGGGGGAUAAGCGGAAGAAAUUCCGUCUAAUACCGCGUAACAACGUUGGGAGGCAUCUCCCGAUGUUUAAAGAUUUAUCGGACUGCGGAUGGCCAUGCGGCGCAUUAGCUAGUCGGCGGGGUAACGGCCCACCGAGGCGACGAUGCGUAGGGGUUCUGAGAGGAAGGUCCCCCACACUGGUACUGAGACACGGACCAGACUCCUACGGGAGGCAGCAG
rnacentral:rRNA from 1 species